AGAGCGAACGCUGGCGGCAGGCUUAACACAUGCAAGUCGAGCGGGCGUAGCAAUGCGUCAGCGGCAGACGGGUGAGUAACGCGUGGGAACGUACCUUUUGGUUCGGAACAACCCAGGGAAACUUGGGCUAAUACCGGAUAAGCCCUUACGGGGAAAGAUUUAUCGCCGGAGGAUUGGCCCGCGUUCGAUUAGCUAGUUGGUGGGGUAACGGCCCACCAAGGCGACGAUCGAUAGCUGGUCUGAGAGGAUGAUCAGCCACAUUGGGACUGAGACACGGCCCAAACUCCUACGGGAGGCAGCAGUGGGGAAUAUUGGACAAUGGGCGCAAGCCUGAUCCAGCCAUGCCGUGUGAGUGAUGACGGCCUUAGGGUUGUAAAGCUCUUUCGCUCGGGACGAUAAUGACGGUACCGAGAGAAGAAGCCCGGCUAACUUCGUGCCAGCAGCCGC
rnacentral:rRNA from 1 species